UNGCUUUGUUGCUUUGUGCUCCACCAU
rnacentral:piRNA from 1 species